UCAAAAUUAUAUUUUAUAUAGACCGAAGAAAUAGUCAUCUCUAUGCACCUUUAAUAACGACAAGUUUUGCAUAUGCAUACAAAUAAUUAGUAAAACAAUGCAUGUGAGACUUUUCCUUGGUCAAAGUUCUUGUUUAGACGUUUCAACUAGGCAAACCUAUUAAUUAAUGUCAAAAUUGGGCAGCAAAUAACCAGUUUUAAUAACAAAUUUCAAGUCCAGUAUUUGUCGUUUUGUUACUGUCACGCAUUUGUCGCCCAAUCAAUUCCCUUCCGUUGACCCGAUAGGUUCAUAAUCACUGUUCAAAAUCGGCCUAUAAUCCUAUUUUCUGCAAAUACUAAUCGAUCAACGAACUAAUUAAGAAGCGAAAGCUACUGGUUCAAUCUGGAAUCAAUCAGUCAAAAGAAUGAGUUAACUCGCCUGGUGACCUACGGGACAUUCAAUCUCCAGGGGAAUUGACUACUUUUCAAACUAUGAAAUUAAUAGAGGUGAAACAAUAUAUAAAAGCUUACCGUCUU
rnacentral:lncRNA from 1 species